rnacentral:tRNA from 1 species
GGGCCAUUAGCUCAGCUGGCUAGAGCGCUUGCAUGGCAUGCACGAGGUCGUCGGUUCGACUCCGACAUGGUCCAC